GUUGAGUCUGGUACUUCCCAAUGACUAGUUGAACUGAACACACAGGUGUACGCAGUUCAGUGAACAGGUGAACUGGUGUUUUGCAUACAGGUGUUUUGCCUAGUUUUAAUUAUUCCCAUGUUUCCCCUGCCUUCUUAGUCCUGUAUUACAGCUGGUCUUUCCGCCCACAGUGUAUUUGCAGGCACCAAGAUGGCUCCGUCUAGAAGAUUUUGCUUCAGUUUUUCUUUGACCUUCAACUGACUGCUCUCAGUGCUUAUAGUUUGGAUCAAGGUGCAUGGAAUAGAAGAUUUUAUACUCAUAAGUUAUAGCCAACAGUGAACAUCUUCUGAUCUGCUUCAGCAAUAUGUGAACCGUGAACUUCUAGAUGUUCAAGCUGGUUUCAGAAAAGGCAGAGGAACCAGAGAUCAAAUUGCCAACAUCUGCUGGAUCAUCAAAAAAGCAAGAGAGUUCCAUAAAAACAUCUAUUUCUGCUUUAUUGACUAUGCCAAAGCCUUUGACUGUGUGGAUCACAAUAAACUGGAAAAUUCUGAAAGAGAUGGGAAUACCAGACGACCUGACCAGCCUCUUGAGAAACCUGUAUGCAGGUCAGGAAGCAACAGUUAGAACUGGACAUGGAACAACAGACUGGUUCCAAAUAUGAAAAGGAGUAUGUCAAGGCUGUAUAUUGUCACCCUGCUUAUUUAACUUCUAUGCAGAGUAUAUCAUGAGAAACGCUGGGUGGAAAGAAGCACAGCUGGAAUCAAGAUUGGUGGGAGAAAUAUCAAUAACCUCAGAUAUGCAGAUGACAUCACCCUUAUGGCAGAAAGUGAAGAAGAACUAAAGAGCCUCUUGAUGAAAGUGAAAGAGGAGAGUCAAAAAGUUGGCUUAAAGCUCAACAUUCAGAAAACGAACAUCAUGGCAUCCAGUCCCAUCAC
ensembl:lncRNA